rnacentral:sRNA from 1 species
UAUUUCGUAUCACGUACCGCGAUUGUUC